UCAAAAUAAGAAAAGUAUUGUAAUCAUCCUCUUCCUCUUCGUCUCCUUCUUAUCCUUUUCCUUCUCCUUAUCUCUCUCCUUCUUCUCCUUCUUCUUCUUGUUCUUGUUCUUCUUCUUCUUCUUCUUGUUCUUCUUCUUAUUCGUCUUCUUGUUCUUCUUCUUCUUCUUCUUCUUCUUCUUCUUCUUCUCCUCCUCCUCCUCCUCCUCCUUCUUCUUCUCCUAUUUCUUCUUCUCAUUAGCUUAUUUUCCCCAAGAAAGGCAUACUUAGCUAAUUAUCCUCCAAAAUGACAUAAUUAGCUAAUUUAGUUC
rnacentral:lncRNA from 1 species